rnacentral:rRNA from 1 species
GACGAACGCUGGCGGCGUGCUUAACACAUGCAAGUCGAACGGAAAGGCCCUGCUUUUGUGGGGUGCUCGAGUGGCGAACGGGUGAGUAACACGUGAGUAACCUGCCCUUGCCUUUGGGAUAACUUCAGGAAACUGGGGCUAAUACCGGAUAUGAGCUCCUGCUGCAUGGUGGGGGUUGGAAAGUUUCGGCGGUUGGGGAUGGACUCGCGGCUUAUCAGCUUGUUGGUGGGGUAGUGGCUUACCAAGGCUUUGACGGGUAGCCGGCCUGAGAGGGUGACCGGCCACAUUGGGACUGAGAUACGGCCCAGACUCCUACGGGAGGCAGAAGUGGGGAAUAUUGCACAAUGGGCGGAAGCCUGAUGCAGCAACGCCGCGUGCGGGAUGACGGCCUUCGGGUUGUAAACCGCUUUCGCCUGUGACGAAGCGUGAGUGACGGUAAUGGGUAAAGAAGCACCGGCUAACUACGUG